rnacentral:rRNA from 1 species
UACGUGGGGGGCAAGCGUUGUUCGGAAUUACUGGGCGUAAAGGGCUCGUAGGCGGCCAACUAAGUCAAACGUGAAAUCCCUCGGCUUAACCGGGGAACUGCGCUUGAUACUGGAUGGCUUGAGAUUGGGAGAGGGAUGCGGAAUUCCAGGUGUAGCGGUGAAAUGCGUAGAUAUCUGGAGGAACACCAAUAGCGAAGGCAGCUCGCUGGGACGUGACUGACACUAAGGCGCGAAAGCGUGGGGAGCGAACAGG